GUCGUACCAGUCCACCAGGUCUAUGACCCCUGUGUUAUUGUCGUACCAAUCCACCAGGUCUAUGACCCCUGUGUUAUUGUCGUACCAGUCCACCAGGUCUAUGACCCCUGUGUUAUUGCUGUACCAGUCCACCACUCUAGGUCUAUGACCCCUGUGUUAUUGCUGUACCAAUCCACUAGGUCUAUGACCCCUGUGUUAUUGUCGUACCAGUCCACCAGGUCUAUGACCCCUGUGUUAUUGCUGUACCAGUCCACCACUCUAGGUCUAUGACCCCUGUGUUAUUGCUGUACCAAUCCACCACUCUAGGUCUAUGACCCCUGUGUUAUUGUCGUACCA
rnacentral:lncRNA from 1 species